CAGCAGCCGCGGGAAUACGAAGGGGGCUAGCGUUGUUCGGAAUUACUGGGCGUAAAGCGUGCGCGGGCGGUUUUGUAAGAUAGGCGUGAAAUCCCCGGGCUCAACCUGGGAAUGGCGCUUGUGACUGCAAAGCUAGAGUGCGGCAGAGGGGGAUGGAAUUCCGCGUGUAGCAGUGAAAUGCGUAGAUAUGCGGAGGAACACCGAUGGCGAAGGCAAUCCCCUGGGCCUGCACUGACGCUCAUGCACGAAAGCAUGGGGAGCAAACAGGAUUAGAUACCCGCGUAGUCCCUGUCUCUUAUAC
rnacentral:rRNA from 1 species